rnacentral:rRNA from 1 species
AACGCUAGCUACAGGCUUAACACAUGCAAGUCGAGGGGCAGCGCAGUGUAGCAAUACACGGGCGGCGACCGGCGCACGGGUGCGUAACGCGUAUCCAACCUUCCCGUUACUCAGGGAUAGCCUUCCGAAAGGGAGAUUAAUACCUGAUGGUGUUUGAAUUCCGCAUGUUAUUCAAACUAAAGAUUUAUCGGUAUCGGAUGGGGAUGCGUGACAUUAGAUAGUAGGCGGGGUAACGGCCCACCUAGUCUACGAUGUCUAGGGGUUCUGAGAGGAAGGUCCCCCACACUGGAACUGAGACACGGUCCAGACUCCUACGGGAGGCAGCAGUGAGGAAUAUUGGUCAAUGGUCGGAAGACUGAACCAGCCAAGUAGCGUGAAGGAUGAAGGUUCUAUGGAUUGUAAACUUCUUUUAUACGGGAAUAAAACCUCCCACGUGUGGGAGCUUGUAUGUACCGUAUGAAUAAGCAUCGGCUAACUCCGUGCCAGCAGCCGCGGUAAUACGGAGGAUGCGAGCGUUAUCCGGAUUUAUUGGGUUUAAAGGGAGCGUAGACGGGGGAUUAAGUCAGUUGUGAAAGGCUGCGGCUCAACCGCAGCACUGCAGUUGAUACUGGUUCCCUUGAGUGCGGUUGAGGUGUAUGGAAUUCGUGGUGUAGCGGUGAAAUGCUUAGAUAUCACGAAGAACUCCGAUUG